rnacentral:pre_miRNA from 1 species
AAUAAGUGCAGUUUUGCACUAUUCAUUUGUAACGUUUGAUCGUUCAUCUUAUUUGAAAAUUUUUAUGAUUAGUAUUUUUAUUGAUAAUAAAUGAUAAAUCAUGAAUAUACUAUUUUUCUAAUUUUUUUAUAAAUUUUUUAAAUAAGAGGGACGAUCAAAACUAGUG